rnacentral:rRNA from 1 species
UAGGGAAUCUUCGGCAAUGGGGGCAACCCUGACCGAGCAACGCCGCGUGAGUGAAGAAGGUUUUCGGAUCGUAAAGCUCUGUUGUAAGAGAAGAACGUGUGUGAGAGUGGAAAGUUCACACAGUGACGGUAACUUACUAGAGAGGGACGGCUAACUACGUGCCAGCAGCCGCGGUAAUACGUAGGUCCCGAGCGUUGUCCGGAUUUAUUGGGCGUAAAGCGAGCGCAGGCGGUUUAAUAAGUCUGAAGUUAAAGGCAGUGGCUUAACCAUUGUUAGCUUUGGAAACUGGUAAACUUGAGUGCAGAAGGGGAGAGUGGAAUUCCAUGUGUAGCGGUGAAAUGCGUAGAUAUAUGGAGGAACACCGGUGGCGAAAGCGGCUCUCUGGUCUGUAACUGACGCUGAGGCUCGAAAGCGUGGGGAGCAAACAGG